rnacentral:tRNA from 1 species
GGUUCAUCUGCUGCAGGUUGGCAGCCCACAUGCCGUGCGUGACGAUCACGGCCUUGGGCGCCUUGGUGGAGCCCGAGGUGAACAU